GACGAACGCUGGCGGCGUGCUUAACACAUGCAAGUCGAACGGAAAGACCCUGCUUUUGUGGGGUGCUCGAGUGGCGAACGGGUGAGUAACACGUGAGUAACCUGCCCUUGACUUUGGGAUAACUUCAGGAAACUGGGGCUAAUACCGGAUAUGAGCUCCUGCUGCAUGGUGGGGGUUGGAAAGUUUCGGCGGUUGGGGAUGGACUCGCGGCUUAUCAGCUUGUUGGUGGGGUAGUGGCUUACCAAGGCUUUGACGGGUAGCCGGCCUGAGAGGGUGACCGGCCACAUUGGGACUGAGAUACGGCCCAGACUCCUACGGGAGGCAGCAGUGGGGAAUAUUGCACAAUGGGCGGAAGCCUGAUGCAGCAACGCCGCGUGCGGGAUGACGGCCUUCGGGUUGUAAACCGCUUUCGCCUGUGACGAAGCGUGAGUGACGGUAAUGGGUAAAGAAGCACCGGCUAACUACGUG
rnacentral:rRNA from 1 species